rnacentral:rRNA from 1 species
CAGUAGCCGCGGUAAUACGGAGGGAGCUAGCGUUACCCGGAUUUACUGGGCGUAAAGGGCGUGUAGGCGGCCUGGGGCGUCCCAUGUGAAAGGCCACGGCUCAACCGUGGAGGAGCGUGGGAUACGCUCAGGCUAGAGGGUGGGAGAGGGUGGUGGAAUUCCCGGAGUAGCGGUGAAAUGCGCAGAUACCGGGAGGAACGCCGAUGGCGAAGGCAGCCACCUGGUCCACUUCUGACGCUGAGGCGCGAAAGCGUGGGGAGCAAACCGGAUUAGAUACCCCUGUAGUCCCUGUCUCUUAUAC